CCUACGGGGGGCAGCAGUCGAGAAUCAUUCACAAUGGGGGAAACCCUGGUGGUGCGACGCCGCGUGGGGGAAUGAAGGUCUUCGGAUUGUAAACCCCUGUCAUGUGGGAGCAAAUUAAAAAGAUAGUACCACAAGAGGAAGAGACGGCUAACUCUGUGCCAGCAGCCGCGGUAAUACAGAGGUCUCAAGCGUUGUUCUGAAUAACUGGGCGUAAAGCGUGCGUAGGCUGUUUCGUAAGUCGUGUGUGAAAGGCGCGGGCUCAACCCGCGGACGGCACAUGAUACUGCGAGACUAGAGUAAUGGAGGGGGAACCGGAAUUCUCGGUGUAGCAGUGAAAUGCGUAGAUAUCGAGAGGAACACUCGUGGCGAAGGCGGGUUCCUGGACAUUAACUGACGCUGAGGCACGAAGGCCAGGGGAGCGAAAGGGAUUAGAUACCCUUGUAGUC
rnacentral:rRNA from 1 species